GGUGUAAUUGAACAAUUCAAUUUCAUUUAGUUAUUGCAAACAGUUUUUUCAUUGUUUUUCCAUAUCCUGCUAAUGGUUUGUAUGUUCAAUUUUUAAAGGGUUUUUGCUAUGUUUUUUUUUGGUUCUUUUUGUCUCUGUAAUUUCUUUUUUUUAGCAUUCUGUCUGUUCAAUUUUUUAAGGGUUUGUUUUGUUUUGGUUUGGUUUUUUUAAGGGUUUGUUUUGUUUUCAUUUUUCUUGUAUACAGUGUGCACACUGGUUUGUCAAUGUUUUUUAUCUAUUAUUUGUUCUGUUUUUUGGUAUUACAUUUUUGUGGUAGCAGAUAAAGAGGCAGAGCAGGUAAAGUGGCAGAGUGGGAGAAAAAUGAAAUGACAAUUGAAUGAGGGCAAAAAUUCUUUUCCCAGAUAAUUCUUCACUAAAAUGAACAGGAAUCAUGGUAGAAGCAAAAUUCUUCUUCCAAACAAUUCUUCAUAUAAACUAUCUUUAUUAUAGAGCUAAUGAAUUGUUUGUCUUGCUUAGUAUGAAUGGUUGACUGACCAUUUCAGAGGCUAUCAUUUUCUUAAUCUUUCAAUUUUUACACAAUGUAUUAAUUAAUUUGAUUUGUUUUCAUUUUGUAUAGAUUGACUCAUGUUUAUUUUUAUGUUCUUGCAGCAAAAUGCUCAAAGACAGAUGGUGGUUUUCUUGGUUUUCUUUAUUCUGUUUAAUUUUUUGGGGUUGAGAUUCUAAUUUAGUCACGAGAUGCAGAGAAAUAGAGAUGGGAAAUUCGUUAUGAUCACAAGUACCUCUUGAAGGAACCCAGAUUUCCAGAACUGUCAAUCCAGUGUUUGAAUUCUCUCAUGCCUGGGCUCUAUUAAACUGUUGUGGAUCUAACAAUGAAAAACUAAAGUAGACUUACGCAUGGGUAUUUUUGUUUUUUCAGGACUUCUCUUUCAGUUAAAAAUGUCUCCUCACUAAUCCAGACACAAAUUGGCUACAUGGGAAGGCAGGUUGAAAGGAUGAUUAUGCAUGAUAUAUUGUUUGUUUAGUCUCCUCUAUCCAAAUUCGUUAGGAUUCUAAGGUUCAUCUCCAUAGAUGUCAAUCAGUUGUUCAUUGACAUCAUAUGACGUUCAGCUGCAAUGCCCUAUUGGGCUUGUGGUAUGUCUGUACAUGCCCUAAAGAUCUAACAAGGUCGACCAAACAACUCGUGGAAUACAUCUUUUUCAGCAAAAAAUAUCUCCUCACUAAUCCACGCAAAAAUUGGAUACAUGGGCAGUAGUAGAUAAAGAGGCACAAGAGGCAAAGAACAGAAAGAGGUUGAGGCAAGAAAACGAAAUGGCAAUGAGUGAAAUUUAUUUUUCUUGUAGUUAUUUGUAAAAGUUAUCUUUAUUUUAAUAAUUAAUGAAUUUUUUUGUCUUGCUAAAAUGAAUACGAAUCACAAAGAAGGAAGCAGCAAUCAAAGGGAGACAAAAUUCUUCUUUCACAUAAAUCUUCAUAUAAAUAAUCUUAAUUUUAAGAACUAAUAAAUUGUUUGCCUUGUAAGGAUAUAGAGGAAUCAUAGAUUGUUUGUCUUGUUUUACUUAAAUAUAGAUUUUUUUAAAUUGUUUUUCCCUUUUUUGUUAAUAGUUUACUCUGUUUUCUUGUUCUUUCUUUCAUUGCAAUUUUUUCUUCACUGCAUUGUUUGUUCGAUUUUUUUAAGAGUGUUUUGAUUUUUUUAGGUUGUAUACAGUGUGCACACUGGUCUGUCUGUGUUAUUCUGGUUUGUCUUUGUUGUUCAUUUAUUAUUUUCUUUUUUGGUUUUACAUUUUUGUGGUAGCAAAUAAAAAGGCAGAGCAAGUGAAGAGACAGAGUAGAGGAAGAAGCGGACAAAAGGAUAUGACAACUAAAUGAGAGAAAAAUUAUUUUUCCAUGUGAAUCAGCAAUUAAAUGGAGCAAAAUGCUGGAAGGUAACUGGUGGUUUUUUUUUCCAGUUUAAUCCUUUUGGUUGAGAUUCUAAUAUAAUCAUGAGAUGCAAAGAAAAAAAGAUGGGAAGGAAGUUAUGAUCACAAAUACCUGAUCUAUAAACUCUUGUAGAUCUAACAAAUGUCUACAUGUGGGCAUUUUUGCUUUUUCAGGUUGUUCUCUUUCAAUUAAAUAUCUCCUAAUUUGUCAGGAUUCUAAGGUAAACCCAGGUAUAAACAACUUACAUUGUUGCCCCAUCAUUUCACAAGGGAAGGGUCUAUUGGACUUCUACAUCUGUUCAACAAUUUACUGUCCUCAUAGGAUGUUCAGCUUCAAUGCCCUAUUGGACUUUGGUAUGUUUGUACAUGC